AUUGAACGCUGGCGGCAGGCCUAACACAUGCAAGUCGAGCGAGCGGCGGACGGGUGAGUAAUGUCUGGGAAACUGCCUGAUGGAGGGGGAUAACUACUGGAAACGGUAGCUAAUACCGCAUACCAUCAGAUGUGCCCAGAUGGGAUUAGCUGGUAGGUGGGGUAACGGCUCACCUAGGCGACGAUCCCUAGCUGGUCUGAGAGGAUGACCAGACACACGGGAACUGAGCCACGGUCCAGACGCCUACGGGAGGCAGCAGUGGGGAAUAUUGGACAAUGGGCGAAAGCCUGAUGCAGCCAGGCCUCGUGUGUGAAGAAGGCCUUCGGGUUGUAAAGCACUUUCAGUGGGGAGGCGGUACCCGCAGAAGAAGCACCGGCUAACUCCGUGCCAGCAGCCGCGGUAAUUC
rnacentral:rRNA from 1 species